rnacentral:rRNA from 1 species
AUUGAACGCUGGCGGCAGGCCUAACACAUGCAAGUCGAGAGGAGCGGCGGACGGGUGGGUAAGGCCGAGGGAGAAGCCCGGUAGUGGGGGAGAACGUCCGGAAAAGGGCGCUAAUACCGCAUACUAUCAGAUGAGACUAGGUCGGAUUGGCUCGUUGGUGGGGUAAAGGCCUACCAAGGCGACGAUCCCUAACUGGUCUGAGAGGAUGAUCGGUCACACUGGCACUUAGACACGGUCCAGACUCCUACGGGAGGCAGCAGUGGGGAAUAUUGGGCAAUGGGCGCAAGCCUGAUCCAGCCAUGCCGCGUGUGUGAAGAAGGUCUUCGGUUUGUAAAUCCCUUUUAGUUGGGAGGCGUUACCAACAGAAUAAGCACCGGCUAACUUCGUGCCAGCCGCCGCGGUAAUAC